rnacentral:sRNA from 1 species
CUUGUUGUUCUUUUCAGAAAAACUCCAUUUUUUCUGCUCUACAUAUUGUUGUUCCUAACGUCCAUUUUCAAAUCCUAUCCAAGUUAUGCUGAUGCUGCACUGUAUACUAGCUUGUUGCCUUUAUGGAGACAUACCUUCUCAUAUUUCAGAAAUUCACUUUUUGUUGGAGGCAUGUAUAUCUGCUGUAUGGUCUUAGCUCCAAUACUUUAUCAUCUCUGGAUAUUUGCCGGCAGUGCCAACGCUAACUUUUAUUUUGCGAUUACAUUGACAUAUUCCACAGCUCAGAUAUUCCUUGUCACAGAUUUAUUAUUUGCUUACUUAAGGAGAGAUUAUGAUCUUUACAAUGGGACUGAACAUAAAAAUGUUGACAGGACAAAAGCUGCCAUUGUUUUAGAAUAGUUUCUGUAACAUUCCUUAUAAUUCAUCUGUAACAUUAACCCAAUUCUGUAUAUAAUUGUCAUGUGUUUGCAUUCGUUGUUUCAUUACAUUUUUAAACUGAACACAUUUGUGAAAACAAAAUUUUCAUUUUUUCUGUUGUUUUUUUUUGGUGUUUAUUUAAAUAAAAACUUUU